AGCUUUUAGAUUGCGUGCUGAGAUUUCGUCACACACCAACCCAUUAGGGCUGAUCAGACUUCCAAAAUAAGUGAAGUU
rnacentral:pre_miRNA from 1 species